CGCUGGCGGCGUGCCUAACACAUGCAAGUCAACUUGACGAAGGAGCAAUCUGACCGUAGAGUGGCGCAAGGGUGCGUAACGCGUAAGUAACUUGCCCAAGGUAAGGAAUAACGUCGAGAAAUCGGCGCUAAUACCUCAUAAUGCAGCGGAUCCGCAUGGAUACGUUGUUAAAGGUUUACCGCCUUGGGAUAGGCUUGCGUCUGAUUAGCUAGUUGGUGUGGUAACGGCACACCAAGGCUACGAUCAGUAACUGGUCUGAGAGGAUGAUCAGUCACACUGGAACUGAGACACGGUCCAGACUCCUACGGGAGGCAGCAGUGAGGAAUAUUGGGCAAUGCUCGAAAGAGUGACCCAGCAACGCCGCGUGGAGGAUGAAGGUAUUCUAUAUCGUAAACUCCUGUGAGAGCAGACGAAAGACAGAUUAUUAAUCUGGAUGACUGUAUGCUCAGAGGAAGCCCCGGCUAACUACGUG
rnacentral:rRNA from 1 species